GACGAACGCUGGCGGCGUGCUUAACACAUGCAAGUCGAGCGGUAAGGCCCUUUCGGGGGUACGACGAGCGGCGAACGGGUGAGUAACACGUGGGUGACCUGCCUCUAGCUCUGGGAUAAGCCCGGGAAACUGGGUCGUAAUACUGGAUAUGACUCCAUGACGCAUGUUGUGGGGUGGAAAGCCUCGUGCGGCUAGAGAUGGGCCCGCGGCCUAUCAGCUUGUUGGUGGGGUGAUGGCCUACCAAGGCGACGACGGGUAGCCGGCCU
rnacentral:rRNA from 1 species